rnacentral:lncRNA from 1 species
CUGUGCCCAGCACCGUGGCCCUGCUGCCCCCCACAGCCACUGAGAGUGAGCAAGGGCUGCCCUGGGGCAGGGAGGGCCGCAAGGGCUCCUGGGUCUUGAGCCUCCCCAAUCACAUCCCAUUUUUCCCAGGCCUGGCUCCAUCCAACACAUUCGUGGCUCCCCAGCCAGUUGUGGUCGCCAGCCCGGCCAAGCUGCAAGCUGCAGCUACCCCGACCGAAGUGGCCAAUGGCAUCGAGUCCCUGGGUGUGGUGAGUCGGUGUUGGGGUCCCAGGGCGCAGUGCCGGCUCCGGGUCCUGAGGGCCAAGGGCCUGAUCUCCCUGUUUCCGGUUUCCAGAAGCCAGACUUGCCGCCUCCACCCAGCAAGGCCCCUGUGAAGAAAGAGAACCAGUGGUUUGAUGUGGGGGUCAUUAAAGGCACCAAUGUAAUGGUGACACACUAUUUCCUGCCACCAGAUGACGCUGUCCCCUUGGAUGAAGGUUUGGGCGCCGUCCCUGAUUACAGCCAGCUGAAGAAGCAGGAGCUGCAGCCAGGCACAGCCUAUAAGUUCCGAGUUGCCGGCAUCAACGCCUGCGGCCGGGGGCCCUUCAGUGAGAUCUCCGCUUUUAAGACAUGUCUGCCGGGUUUCCCGGGGGCCCCUUGUGCCAUUAAAAUCAGCAAAGUGAGUCUUGCCAUGGGGUGGGCCCAUGCCCGUGCAGGUGGGGGGCCCAGGAGGCUCCCAGGGCAGAGGCAGUCGCCUGGCGGGUGGUAUCCAGGGCACAGGGAGGGCCUCCGCCCAGCCUCAGUCUCCUCUGCAGCAUGCUGGCUGUUGCCCUGUGCCGUUCAGUGUGCUCUGCCCUUGGCCCAGAGACAUCCCCGGGGGUCAGGGUUCCUUGUGAGCUCCGUGCUUGAGUGCAGAAGCGCGGGACAGGUCCCAUCUGGGCGGAGGGGCAUGGGGUGGGGGGCGGCCUUGAGGCUUCACUCAGGGCAGGUCACCAUGAGCCGGGACAGGCNNNNNNNNNNNNNNNNNNNNNNNNNNNNNNNNNNNNNNNNNNNNNNNNNNNNNNNNNNNNNNNNNNNNNNNNNNNNNNNNNNNNNNNNNNNNNNNNNNNNNNNNNNNNNNNNNNNNNNNNNNNNNNNNNNNNNGGCCAUCCAGAGCUCGCAGGCAGGCGGCGAGGCCAAGAGCUCCGCGCCAGCGCAGCUGGCCUUCAUGCGUGUGUACUGCGGGCCCAGCCCCUCGUGCCUCGUGCAGUCCUCCAGCCUCUCCAAUGCCCACAUUGACUACACCACCAAGCCCGCCAUCAUCUUUCGCAUCGCCGCACGCAACGAGAAGGGCUACGGCCCUGCCACGCAAGUCAGGUGGCUGCAAGGUGAGCAGCUGGGCCUGGGAGGGGUCCCCAAGGCGCUCUGCCCGGGAGGCCGAGGCAGGGGGCUCACUUGCGGCCCCCCGUUCCUUUUAGAGACCAGUAAAGACAGCUCGGGCAGCAAGCCAGCCAGCAAGCGGCCCAUGUCCUCUCCGGAAAUGUAGGUGCACGGCCCACGGGGAGCCUCUGCGGGGGGGCCUGGGGUCUGGGCGCGUGGUGGGACCCUCAUAACACGUGUUUGUUCUCUGCCACCUUCCAAGGAAAUCUGCUCCAAAGAAGUCGAAGGCGGAUGGUCAGUGAGAAGCAGCUGGCUGAACCGAGACCCUCCUGGACCCUCUGGCCCGCCUGGCACGCGCACUCCCGCCACUGCUGCCCGCUGCCCCUCCUUGCCCCUGUUUCCGCUCCAAUGUGAAGAAAGCACACGGCUGGCCGCUGCUGUCGCUGUUGCGGAGCAGAGAGCCUGUGAGAGUCGUGUUCCCCCUUCCUCUGCCCUCCUGGCCCAGGGGCUGGGAUUCAGGGGCCUGUGGAGGAGAGGCCACCACUGCACCCACCACUCAGAGGCUGCGCACGCACGUGUCCUGGUUCCUCGCUCUCAUUUGUCACCUGGUGUUUGCAGCCACCCCUCCCUCAGGCUUAGCCACCCUCCACAAACUGCAGAAAGCACCUCUUUCUCAGGCCUUCUGCCUGCCAUCUCCCCCUCCCUCCCGCUUUAUAGAAGGAAGGAAGAAGGCCAAGGAGGGGCGAGAGGGGCCCUAGGGCCGGAGCAGUGCCUGUUGCCCUCCGGCCUGCGGGCGCAGAGUGGCCCUACUAGCCUGGUUCCGCCCUGCCCGGCUUGGCACGGGCCACGUCACCAACUGCUGCAUUUGUUGUAUUUUUUUAAGUUGAAAUUGAUGAAGCUAACAUUUUUAUUGUAAUUUUAGCCUUAGCGUGUGGGGCUUUGUCCCUUUUUUGUUGUUAGCCGUGUACAGAAUGUAUCUUUUUUCUUUCUUCCCCUUUUUUUUAAAACUUCUUUUCUCCUUGGCUAACCCUUGGCAGGGAUGUUUGGGGAGGAAAAGCGGGGCAGCUGGGGCUGGAGAGGUGCGGAAGGGGCCUCCUUUGCUCCCUCUUGGGGCUUGGCCACCCAGCCCAGGCUCCUCUGCUCCGCCUGUCCCCAGGCCUCUGGGGACAGCCGAGCAGAACUGUGACACCACCCUCCCAGGGUGAGCACUUCCCGUGGAGAGGGACUGGAGGGCCCAGGCAAGUGGCCCUGCAGCUCGGCUCGGCUCACAGUGCCGUCCUGGCUGAGCCCCACUCCCCAGAGGGCUCACUACAGCCUCCCUGGGGCCUGUGGGAUUUCUCUGCCACCCUGGCUGGAGGCCUCAAGCAAGGUUCGCCAGUGACAGUCUCUGGCCCCUCCAUCUCUGUGUGGAGGUUUGGGGAUGGAGGGUGCCCCGCCCUGGCCCACACCUGCAGGGCCUCUGGUUCGUUGUAUUAUAGUAUAUUUCGCUGUGGAAAUGUCAUGUUUAGUCGCCUUGGAGCCCACCACCCGGUCCCAUUGUUUUGCUCGUCCCCUCUCCUGAGCGCCCUUUGAUUUCUCUUGUUUCUGAGAACAGUACCACCUGUUCAUCUAUUGUAGAGUAACCUGUGACUCAAUAUUACCAUAGUGCGAUGUCGUUUUGUGCUAUUUUGAACAAUUAAAGACCUUUUUUGAAAAAACCAUCUGGUGUCUCACUGUGUUGGGUGUCCUGUGGCCUCUGGAGGGAAAGUUGUGACCUGGGUCACAGAUGAGGCUUUCUGCCACCCACUCCCCUUCUGUAGGUCACU